rnacentral:rRNA from 1 species
AAGAGUUUGAUCCUGGCUCAGGACGAACGCUGGCGGCGUGCUUAACACAUGCAAGUCGAACGAUGAACCACUUCGGUGGGGAUUAGUGGCGAACGGGUGAGUAACACGUGGGCAAUCUGCCCUGCACUCUGGGACAAGCCCUGGAAACGGGGUCUAAUACCGGAUACUGACCCGCCUGGGCAUCCAGGCGGUUCGAAAGCUCCGGCGGUGCAGGAUGAGCCCGCGGCCUAUCAGCUUGUUGGUGAGGUAACGGCUCACCAAGGCGACGACGGGUAGCCGGCCUGAGAGGGCGACCGGCCACACUGGGACUGAGACACGGCCCAGACUCCUACGGGAGGCAGCAGUGGGGAAUAUUGCACAAUGGGCGCAAGCCUGAUGCAGCGACGCCGCGUGAGGGAUGACGGCCUUCGGGUUGUAAACCUCUUUCAGCAGGGAAGAAGCGCAAGUGACGGUACCUGCAGAAGAAGCGCCGGCUAACUACGUGCCAGCAGCCGCGGUAAUACGUAGGGCGCGAGCGUUGUCCGGAAUUAUUGGGCGUAAAGAGCUCGUAGGCGGCUUGUCGCGUCGGUUGUGAAAGCCCGGGGCUUAACCCCGGGUCUGCAGUCGAUACGGGCAGGCUAGAGUUCGGUAGGGGAGAUCGGAAUUCCUGGUGUAGCGGUGAAAUGCGCAGAUAUCAGGAGGAACACCGGUGGCGAAGGCGGAUCUCUGGGCCGUUACUGACGCUGAGGAGCGAAAGCGUGGGGAGCGAACAGGAUUAGAUACCCUGGUAGUCCACGCCGUAAACGGUGGGCACUAGGUGUGGGCGACAUUCCACGUCGUCCGUGCCGCAGCUAACGCAUUUAAGUGCACCG